GUCCAGACUCCUACGGGAGGCAGCAGUGGGGAAUAUUGCACAAUGGGGGAAACCCUGAUGCAGCGACGCCGCGUGAGCGAUGAAGUAUUUCGGUAUGUAAAGCUCUCUCAGCAGGGAAGAAGAUGACGGUACCUGACUAAGAAGCCCCGGCUAACUACGUGCCAGCAGCCGCGGUAAUACGUAGGGGGCAAGCGUUAUCCGGAUUUACUGGGUGUAAAGGGAGCGUAGACGGCGAUGCAAGCCAGAUGUGAAAGCCCGGGGCUCAACCCCGGGACUGCAUUUGGAACUGUGUGGCUGGAGUGUCGGAGAGGCAGGCGGAAUUCCUAGUGUAGCGGUGAAAUGCGUAGAUAUCGGGAGGAACACCAGUGGCGAAGGCGGCCUGCUGGACAUUAACUGACGCUGAGGCGCGAAAGCGUGGGGAGCAAACAGGAUUAGAUACCCUCGUA
rnacentral:rRNA from 1 species